UACGUAGGGUGCGAGCGUUGUCCGGAAUUACUGGGCGUAAAGAGCUCGUAGGUGGUUUGUCGCGUUGUCCGUGAAAACUCACAACUCAAUUGUGGGCGUGCGGGCGAUACGGGCAGACUGGAGUACUGCAGGGGAGACUGGAAUUCCUGGUGUAGCGGUGAAAUGCGCAGAUAUCAGGAGGAACACCUGCGGCGAAGGCGGGUUGCUGGGCUGACACUGACGCUGAUGCGCGAAAGCUAGGGGAGCGAACGGG
rnacentral:rRNA from 1 species